UACGGAGGGGGCGAGCGUUAUUCGGAAUUAUUGGGCGUAAAGGGCGCGUAGGCGGCGCGAUAAGUCAAAGGCGAAAUCCCUCGGCUCAACUGAGGAACUGCCUUUGAAACUGUCGUGCUUGAGGCCGGGAGGGGGUAGCGGAAUUCCCAGUGUAGCGGUGAAAUGCGUAGAUAUUGGGAGGAACACCAGUGGCGAAGGCGGCUACCUGGACCGGUUCUGACGCUGAUGCGCGAAAGCGUGGGUAGCAAACAGG
rnacentral:rRNA from 1 species